UAAAUUGAUCUUUCCGUCAAAUCCAACUUUACGACGUCAAGUGUUGCUUAUGUGGAAGAGACAGUUGCUUAUGUGGCAGAGUGAGGUGAAAUUGUGAUUGCGUGGAUCUCAUCUCCAUUCUCCAGCCCCGCCUCAAGCAGUUGCAGACCGAACUCCAUCACACCAAGAAGGACCCACACCAUGCUCCCUCCUCCUCUGCCGCAACCUCGCACUUUCUCUCUUUCUCCCUUCAAA
rnacentral:lncRNA from 1 species